rnacentral:rRNA from 1 species
GACAGAGGGUGCAAACGUUGCUCGGAAUUACUGGGCGUAAAGCGCGUGUAGGCGGGCCCCCAAGUCGGACGUGAAAGCCCUGAGCUCAACUCAGGAACUGCAUCCGAAACUGAGGGCCUGGAGUAGUGGAGAGGGAAGCAGAAUUCCUGGUGUAGAGGUGAAAUUCGUAGAUAUCAGGAGGAACACCGGUGGCGAAGGCGGCAUCCUGGACCGGCAUUGACGCUGAGGAGCGAAAGCUAGGGGAGCAAACGGG